rnacentral:rRNA from 1 species
UACGGAGGGUGCAAGCGUUAUCCGGAUUCACUGGGUUUAAAGGGUGCGUAGGCGGGCAAGUAAGUCAGUGGUGAAAUCUUCGAGCUUAACUCGGAAACUGCCGUUGAUACUAUUUGUCUUGAAUGUUGUGGAGGUGAGCGGAAUAUGUCAUGUAGCGGUGAAAUGCUUAGAUAUGACAUAGAACACCAAUUGCGAAGGCAGCUCGCUACACAAUGAUUGACGCUGAGGCACGAAAGCGUGGGGAUCAAGCAGG